CCUUUUUAGUGAAAACGAGUAGGACGGGACACGUGGUAUCCUGUUUGAAUAUGGGGGGACCAUCCUCCAAGGCUAAAUACUCCUGACUGACCGAUAGUGAACCAGUACCGUGAGGGAAAGGCGAAAAGAACCCCUGUAAGGGGAGUGAAAUAGAACCUGAAACCGUGUACGUACAAGCAGUGGGAGCACCUUCGUGGUGUGACUGCGUACCUUUUGUAUAAUGGGUCAGCGACUUACAUUCUGUAGCGAGGUUAACCGAAUAGGGGAGCCGUAGGGAAACCGAGUCUUAACUGGGCGAAUAGUUGCAGGGUGUAGACCCGAAACCGGGCGAUCUAUCCAUGAGCAGGUUGAAGGUUGGGUAACACUAACUGGAGGACCGAACCCACAUCUGUUGAAAAAGAUGGGGAUGACUUGUGGAUCGGAGUGAAAGGCUAAUCAAGCUCGGAGAUAUCUGGUUCUCCUCGAAAGCUAUUUAGGUAGCGCCUCGAGCGAAUACCACCGGGGGUAGAGCACUGUUUGGGCUAGGGGGUCAUCCCGACUUACCAACCCCAUGCAAACUCCGAAUACCGGUGAGUACUACUCGGGAGACACACGGCGGGUGCUAACGUCCGUCGUGAAAAGGGAAACAACCCAGACCGCCAGCUAAGGUCCCAAAGUAAUGAUUAAGUGGAAAACGAUGUGGGAAGGCAUAGACAGCUAGGAGGUUGGCUUAGAAGCAGCCACCCUUUAAAGAAAGCGUAAUAGCUCACUAGUCGAGUCGGCCUGCGCGGAAGAUGUAACGGGGCUAAAUCAUUCACCGAAGCUGCGGACUUGUGCUUGCACAAGUGGUAGAGGAGCGUUCUGUAAGCCUGUGAAGGUGUCCCGGGAGGGAUUGCUGGAGGUAUCAGAAGUGCGAAUGCUGACAUGAGUAACGAUAAGGGGAGUGAAAAACUUCCCCGCCGAAAGACCAAGGGUUCCUAUCCCAUGCUAAUCAGGGUAGGGUGAGUCGGCCCCUAAGGCGAGGCUGAAAGGCGUAGUCGAUGGGAAACGGGUUAAUAUUCCCGUACCGGCCAAUACUGCGAUGGGGGGACGGAGAAAGCUAGGCAAGCGCGGCGUUGGUAGUCCGCGUGAAAGUAUGUAGGUUGAGCGUUUAGGAAAAUCCGGAUGCUUAAGACUGAGAUACGAGACGAGUUACUACGGUAACGAAGUUGCUAACGCUAUGCUUCCAGGAAAAGCCUCUAAGCUUCAGGUAUUGGUGACCGUACCCUAAACCGACACAGGUGGUCAGGUAGAGCAUACCAAGGCGCUUGAGAGAACUCGGCUGAAGGAACUAGGCAAAAUAGUACCGUAACUUCGGGAGAAGGUACGCUCUUUGCUGUGAAGGACUUGCUCCGUAAGCAGUGAAGAGUCGCAGUGACCAGCUGGCUGCAACUGUUUAUUAAAAACACAGCACUCUGCAAACACGUAAGAGGACGUAUAGGGUGUGACACCUGCCCGGUGCCGGAAGGUUAAUUGAUGGGGUUAGCGCAAGCGAAGCUCUUGAUCGAAGCCCCGGUAAACGGCGGCCGUAACUAUAACGGUCCUAAGGUAGCGAAAUUCCUUGUCGGGUAAGUUCCGACCUGCACGAAUGGUGUAAUGAUGGCCAGGCUGUCUCCAGCCGAGACUCAGUGAAAUUGAAAUUGCGGUGAAGAUGCCGUAUACCCGCGGCUAGACGGAAAGACCCCGUGAACCUUUACUAUAGCUUGGCACUGAACAUUGACCCUACAUGUGUAGGAUAGGUGGGAGGCUUUGAAGCGGUAACGCCAGUUAUCGUGGAGCCGUCCUUGAAAUACCACCCUUGUAUGUUUGAUGUUCUAACGUAGGUCCCUGAAGCGGGAUUGCGGACAGUGUCUGGUGGGUAGUUUGACUGGGGCGGUCUCCUCCUAAAGCGUAACGGAGGAGCACGAAGGUUGGCUAAGUACGGUCGGACAUCGUACGGUUAGUGUAAUGGUAGAAGCCAGCUUAACUGCGAGACAGACACGUCGAGCAGGUACGAAAGUAGGUCAUAGUGAUCCGGUGGUUCUGUAUAGAAGGGCCAUCGCUCAACGGAUAAAAGGUACUCCGGGGAUAACAGGCUGAUACCGCCCAAGA
rnacentral:rRNA from 1 species